AUUAACCUUCAACCCAGUACAGUGACAAUUUCUUCCAUUAUGUUGUCUGCUCCCGGAGGACAGUGACAGUCUGCUACUCGCUGUUGUUUUUCCAGUACCUUAUAUAGUGCUUGUCAUACAAGUUUUGCAAAACUGAACUGCUUCUGGAUAUUCUGAAAUACAAGAAUAGCAAGAGAUACUAUCCAAAGAAAAGGUAAGAAAAUGAUUUGCUCUUAUCAGAAGAAACAAGAAUUCCUUAAAGGAACAGGGAUCAGAUGAUCAUAGAGACAAAAACAAAUAUUUUUUUGACAUCUGAUCUGUGCAUAACAUACUUA
rnacentral:lncRNA from 1 species